rnacentral:rRNA from 1 species
UACGUAGGGCGCAAGCGUUGUCCGGAAUUAUUGGGCGUAAAGAGCUCGUAGGCGGCCUGUUGCGUCCGCUGUGAAAUCCCGGGGCUCAGCCCCGGGCCUGCAGUGGAUACGGGCUGGCUGGAGGCAGGCAGGGGAGAACGGAAUUCCUGGUGUAGCGGUGAAAUGCGCAGAUAUCAGGAGGAACACCGGUGGCGAAGGCGGUUCUCUGGGCCUGUUCUGACGCUGAGGAGCGAAAGCGUGGGGAGCGAACAGG